CCAUUUCUGAGGAGCUACCAGCUCAGGGGGAUGUGAAUGGCAGCAACCGCGACGAGGCACCUACUAGACACCAUGAAAUAUAGUUCAGGUGCAACUUCUAUGUAAGGUUUGAUAAUAUACAUAAAGACGCUCCCAGAAAUCACAAGACAGUAUUUAAACAGAUGGCAGGAUGUUCUACACUGGAACUAAUCGGCAAUAUCUUCGUUUGGUGGUGUUAACUGAGGAGGAAAAGAGGUCUGUCCUCCACGAAUGCCAUGAUCAUCCACGGACAGGAAAUCAUCGUGGUUUGAGAGCCACCAGAGACAAGGUUGUUGCUGGUUAUUACUGGCCAACUUUAAAGAAGGAUGUGUAUGACUGGGUUAAUGAAGCGUGGGACGUGGUUGGCUUGGACCUCAUUGACCCUGUCUCUGAGACUGCUCGAGGCCAGAAAUAUAUCAUGACUAUGACAGACCUCUACACAAAGUGGGCUGUUGCUGAGCCACUGUGCAGCAAGAGUGCAAGUCAGGUGUGUUCUGCCGUGGUCAACAAGCUGUAUUCCUACGGCAUGGUCAGGAAAAUCAUCACUGAUCAAGGAAAGGAGUUUGUGAAUGAGCUAAACUCGAGCAUCUUCAAGAUUUUUAAUAUAAAACAUGCCGUUUCCAGUGCCUAUCACCCCCAGACAAAUGGACAGGUGUUUGUUACAUUUCUCUUAUAUAGAAUUUUAAACAAUUAUCUCAGAUUAAGGGUACUUGUUCAACUAAUUAUUUCAUUGUUUGCAUUUUUUAUUUCUAUCUUUUGGGUCGUGUCGGAGCUGGUGGAUGUUGCCCGGGAGAUGAGCGUGCCCCCGCGACCCGACAAUGGAUAAGCGGUGGAGGAUGGAUGGAUGGGUUGUGAGUUAGAUAAGUAUUGCCCAUUAAGUUCAGAUGUUUUUUUUCCUUUACUGUUUAGCAUGUGAGGACAAACCAGAAUGUCAAGUGGGCUCUGAGACGAUAUGUCAACGAGUCACGCAACGACUGGGACAUCCACCUUCCAGCAGUCUUGUAUGGCAUUAACACAACUUCACAGUGAUGAAUGCUUGUCCGAUUGGAGAUUCAUGGGAGGUUGGAGAUCCAGAGGAAGACAUGGACACCACAGUUGAUAAAAUGAGACUCCUGAAUGAGAAGGUCCUUCAAAACAUUGAACUGGCACAGGAAAGACAGAAGGAAUCUUACGCUAUGCGUAAGAAAAAGUCUGUUCGAGUGUGCACAGUCAAUGUUGGAGAUGAUGUCCUCAUCUCAGGAAGCCCCAAAGAUCGGUUUCGUUCAGCGGCCAUGUCCAGUCAGCAUGAGGGUCCCUUCACUGUCACCAGCAUCUCUUCAAAAGGCGUGGCAACAGUGGGAAAAAGUGAUGGGAGGCACCGGAUGCUCACAUAAAGUGCCUCAGGCCAUAUAGGAGAAUGGAGAGUCUUAGUCGUCUGAGCAAGAUAGCGUUUUGGCAUGACCACCCAUAUUGGACUGACAAGCAGGAUGAUCAUCUUUAUGCUUCAUGUGGAGAGAUAUGGGAGCAGAAGUUGGGUCCUCUUGAGGAUAAACUGGCAAGUGAUAUCUCUAUCUGUUUUCCAUGGCAAAAAGAUUUCAUCAGCUAAAUCCUAAUAUAUUCACUCAUGGCAUGGUGUGAUCUUGCAUUCUAGUUCUCCUAUGUACUGGACACCAGUCGUCCUGCAAAGGAACUUAUUGUCAAAGAUGGCAAUCUCUGUCUUGUUCGCGAGGAAUUCUGGACUUUGGGCCUUCCGCGAUGCAUGGAUUCAUCUAUUGGAAAUGCCUGCCUGAGGCUCAUUCAAGAAGCUGCUCAGCGAUGUGGGAAGGACGUUCAUAUUGUGGAUAUGUUUGUCAUGCCCACCUGGAAGUUGGAUCAUGUAGACCCCUUAGUUGGUCUGAUGGACAACAUGAGAUCAAAGGAUGUCAUUAUGUUUCCAGCAUGGAGUCGUCAACAGAACCAGUCAGAUCACUACUUGUUAUGUGUUGAGUGAAAAAUCAUUCAUCAAAUUCAUUCAACUCCUGCAAUGUUUAUGUGCCUGUGUAACUGUUAUAAUGGAUUCUCUUCUUCCUCAUGGUUUUGGAGAUGAGUCAUAUGGAGCAAUCUUUAGGUGGAUAUUAAACAAUGUCGUCGUUGGUCUUGGUCUGCAUUUGCACCGACCGUCCAUUUCACUUUUCUGAGAGUGACAUGGUGUCUGUCCGCAAGUGGUGGUGUGUGCAGCUAAUGGAGAGGUUCUCCAUUGAAGGGCAUGGUCAGCGAUUUGCCUUCUGGACCCAGGAGGCUAAAGAACUGCUCCAUGGUGGACUUGAGUCUCUUCUUCGGCUGCCUGGAACAAUCCACUUUUGGAUCAGUCGAGAACCGUGCAGGAUCUCUAGCUGGCUGUCCAGUGGAUAGAUGAAAACCCAGGUGUCUUCAAGAGUAAGUGGAGGGUGCCCGCAUUCCAUGGUAUGACAGAGCAGGAGCAGGAGGACAAUGGAGAUGGCACUGCUGCCAGGGAUCCUUUCAUGUUCGUUUUUGACGACAUGGACGACAUGAAAACGUUUAUGAAUGAAUGUCGUGAUCAGAGAGACCUGAGAGUGAAUGUUGAGUGUGUUGUAGAUAAUAGUGAGUAGAUGAAGCUCUCUUUUGUCGGGUGAACUGUUCGGGCAUUUGUUAAUAAUGGUGUGUUUUCAUGUUUUGUAUAUAAAAUAUGUUUAGUCAUUUAUAAAUAAUGUUGGUGUGUUUUCAUGUUUUGUUAA